ensembl:lncRNA
CAGGGCAUUUGCGAGGCUGCCACAGCGCAUCAUCUCCUUUGCCAUUUUUUUUUUCUUGUAAAAUGUAUUAUCAAUCACUGGCGCGCUUUCCCAUUUCAUUGGCGCUUUCUGGGCAACAGCUGGCCGCCCUCCAAGUCGGGGAUGUGCUUGGGAAAGGUGCUCCCGGCCGCUCCAGAAGGCGGGGCUGCGGGGCUGCGGGGCUGCGGGGCUGCGGGGGCUUCCGGGACCAGGCCUGGGCGGCAGGGGCAGCCGGAGACCUCGCCCGCGUGUCUCUGGCCAUGCGCGUCUGUCUCUGUCUCUGCCUCUGCUCUGUCUCCUCUCUCUGUCUCACUGCUCUGUGUCUCUCUGUCUCUGUCCUGUCUCACUUUAUGUCUCUGCUGUUUCUGUCUUUCUGUCUCUGUUCAGUGUCUCCACUCUGUGUGUGUAUCUCUCUGUCUCUUCGUCUCUCUGCUGUGUCCCCAUGUCUCCGUGUCUCUGUCUCUGUGCUCUGCGUCUCUCUUUCAUCUCUCUGCUCUGUCUCUCUGUGUCUCUCUGUCUCUGCUCUGUCUCCCUGUGUCUCUCUGUCUCUGUGCUCUGUCUCUAUCUCUCUGCUCUGUGUCUCUGUGUCUCUCUGGUCUGUGUCUCUCUGUCUCUGUCUUUCUGCUCUGUCUCUCUGUGUCUCUAUGUCUCUCUGCUCUGUGUAUUUCUCUGUCUCUGUGUCUCUCUGUGCUCUGAGUCUCUGUCUCUCUCUGCUCUGUCUCUCUGUGUCUCUAUGUCUCUCUGCUCUGUGUAUCUCUCUGUCUCUGUCUCUGUGUCUCUCUGUGCUCUGUGUCUCUCUUUGUCUCUCUGCUCUGUGUAUCUCUCUGUCUCUGUGUCUCUCUGUGCUCUGUGUCUCUCUGCUCUGUCUCUCUCUGCUCUGUCUCUCUGUGUCUCUAUGUCUCUCUGCUCUGUGUAUCUCUCUGUCUCUGUCUCUGUGUCUCUCUGCUCUGUGUAUCUCUCUGUCUCUGUGUCUCUCUGUGCUCUGUGUCCCUCUGCUCUGUCUCUCUCUGCUCUGUCUCUCUGUGUCUCUAUGUCUCUCUGCUCUGUGUAUCUCUCUGUCUCUGUCUCUGUGUCUCUCUGUGCUCUGUGUCUCUCUCUGUCUCUCUGCUCUGUGUAUCUCUCUGUCUCUGUGUCUCUCUGUGCUCUGUGUCUCUGUGUCUCUCUGCUCUGUCUCUCUCUCUGCUCUGUCUCUCUGUGUCUCUAUGUCUCUCUGCUCUGUGUAUCUCUCUGUCUCUGUGUCUCUCUGUGCUCUGUGUCUCUGUCUCUCUGCUCUGUCUGUGUCUCUGUCUCUGUCUCUGUGUCUCUCUGUCUCUGUCUUUCUGUCCCUCUGCUGUCUCUCUGACUCUGUGUCUCUGUGUCUCUCUGCUCUGUGUCUCUCUAUGUCUCUCUGCUCUGUGUAUCUCUGUGCUCUGUGUCUCUGUGUCUCUCUCUGUCUCUGUCUCUCUGUCUCUGUCUCUGUGUCUGUGUCUCUCUGCUCUGUGUUUCUCUUUCUGCUCUGUCUCUCUAUGUCUCUAUGUCUCUCUGCUCUGUGUAUCUCUCUGUCUCUGUCUCUGUGUCUCUCUGUGCUCUGUCUCUCUCUGUCUCUGUCUCUCUGUCUCUGUGUCUCUCUGCUCUGUGUUUCUGUCUGUCUCUGCUGUCUCUCUGCUCUGUGUCUCUGUGUCUCUCUGCUCUGUGUCUCUCUGUGUCUCUGUCUCUGUCUCCCUAGCUGUUUCCAAGGAACACAAAGUGCCGAGAUAGCAGAUACUAUGAUGUGNN